AGGGUAAUAAGAAGACAAAACCGGUUUCAUUAUUCUGAUAACUCUUAGAACAGUGUUACAAAGCGCUGUGCUCUUGAACUUGCGAAUUUGUAUAGUCUAGUGGCCAAGUAAAUCCAUUGUGUAAGACUUUUAACAAAUAGGAACUUUUAGAUUUUUUAAAGGAUUUAUCUUUACAGAAUUGAAAAAUGCAGAUAAUCUGGGUGCUGAUCAUCUCCUAAAUUUCUAAAUUAUCUUUCAUCUUUGUUCCUUUCCUGAUCUUAGCCUUUUCUUUUCUUGGCCUCAUUGGCCUUUCCUGUUUGCUGAAGGAAGAAGAAGAACAAGUCUGGAUCUACAAAAAAAUACUCAAGUUCCAUUUUAUUCUUAAAUAGCUUUAAUGCAACAAGACAUUUAAAAGCUGCAGUUAGAUUAUUUCAAAAUAAGGCAUGCCCAUUUUAGUAUCCUUUAGUUCUUGUCUAGCUGUUACUGAUAUUAUAGAAUUCAGUUUUGAAACAAUUUUCUAAGCUCAUAUACUCACCUGUGCGUACUUAAGCAUUGUUCUGCAAAAUAUAUGGGGAGAAUCUGCCCUGAACUAUUACUGAUUUCUCAUACAACAGAAGCAAAUGUUUGAAAGUUUAGCAGAUGGAAUAGUGACCAAGGGGCUGGCUGUCAGACAUACAUCAAGUCAAAUGGAUUGCUUCAGCCUGUUCUCUCCUCCCAUUUUCUAGGUCUCUGGAACACUUUUCUAAAUCUUUAGGGAUUAAAUGAACCAAUAUCAGCAGGGAAUGUCUUAAGAAAUCUGGUGUCGCAGGCUGACUGUGGCAGACCAGAUUGCUUCUAUUGUUGCCCCAUGUAGGUGCCUGUCACAUGGUGCCAAUAGCUUUAACAAGAAAAAACACUGCAAUGUGUCACUUCGCCUCCUCCUCUAAAUGAUUCAUGCCAGCCUUGUUAAGGUGAUGUGGGCCUCAUUCUCAGAUAUCUGCGGUUUCCAUUAGAAAUUCUUUGAAAAUGGACUCCCCAGGACACCUUUAGAGGUAACUUCAAAGGGCCUCAUUAAUGAAUAUCAUGCCAUUUAUACAAGAGCUCCUAACAAUAGCAUUAGAAAAACCUGUGUUCUCCUUCUACUGUGGUGAAAUCAAUGUAUUAGCUCUAUAGCAAGACAGAAAACUAAAAAACAAUGCUGCUUUAACCAGAUGUUACUUGGUUAUGGUAGUUCAAUUAUCCUGUAGAUGUAAGAUUGUACUAAUCCAAUAGAUAAUUGUUAAGGAAUUCACCUAGAGAACAUCUGCAUUCUCCUGGAGUACAUGUAUAUGUGGGUGAGAGAGAAAAAGAGAGGACAUUUCCCAAAGUGCUUUGUAGAUAAACUUUCAGGUUAUAUUCUUAAAUUAUGUGAAAUACUACUUUAUUUUUAGAAUUUUGCUAUUCACAAAAUGAUAUUCAUAAAUCCUUUCACAAUAUAAACAUGGUGUUUAUAUAAAAAAUUUCACCACUCUUUUUUUGUGAGAAGUAGAAUAUCAAUCAAAUAAUCAUGGAAGCCAUUUUAUGUGUGCGUAGUAAGGUAAAUAGGUGCAGUGUGUCAUUUUGCCUUGGUCCAGUAUCCUCCUUUCUUACUGUUAUUAGCCAGAUACACUGGAAAACCCAAAGCCACACUUUAUAACUUACCGUAUUUCCUCACAUAAUAGUUGUCACCGCGUAAUAGUCACACACCCAUAUUUGAGGUCCCAAAAUUGGGGGUUUUGGGCUUUCAUUGAAUAAUAGUCACAUCCUUGAUUCAUUUUCUCUCUCGCCUGCCCGCCAGCUUGCCAUUCAAGCAUGGCGGUUUGCUUGCUCGUCAACCAGCUUGCCUUUCAGGCACGGUACUUCAUUCAUUCAGUCGGUCGCUCACCUGCCUACCUGCCCAUUGGCGUUUACCUUUCCGGCACAGCACUUCAUUAAGCUGCUCAUUCGCUUACCUGCCCAUUUACUUUUCAGGCAUAGUGCUUCCUGCGGCGAAUUCCAUGCUUUCAGUCUCAGCCACGAGAAAAGUGAGCCUGAAAGGCGAGCAACCAAGCGAACGAGCAAGUGAAUGAAAUGCCCUGUCAAGAAACACAAAAAUUAGCACAAAAAAAAACAGGAGCCGUGAUGGCACAAUGGGUUAAACCCUUAUGCAGUCUGGACUGCUGACCUGAAAGUUGGGUUGCUCACCUGAAGGUUUCCGGCUUGAAUCCGCAAGAUGGAGUGAGGUCCCGUCUGUCAGCUCUAGCUUGCAAGAAUAUGAGAGAAGCCUCCCAGCAGGAUGGUAACACAUUUGGGCGUCUCCUGGGCAACAUCUCUGUAGACAGCCAAUUCUCUCACACCAGAAACAACUUGCAGAAUGUUCAAUCUCAAGUUGCUUCUGACACGAUAAAAAAAGCAAUGUUGUAACCCACCUCAAGCCGUGAAGUGAGGAGGUAAGAAAUAAAAUUAUUAUUACUACUAUUAUUAUUAUUACUAUUAUUAUUAAAUUUCAACUUUGCCAGGGCACAAAACACUGGCAAUUAAGAUAAGUUGUGAGACCGGUUCUCCAGCAGCUAUGCAGAGAUUUCUGAUGUUCCUUUUAUUUGUUAUAACAGAUGCCACUUUUCUUUGCCGACAUGCCUGUGUGGAUGUAAUGGGCAAAUUAUGAAACACUUUAUUAAAAAAACUAGUUUGACCUGGCAGUAUCUUCAAAGAGAUAAUGCCUUUGAGGUAGGAAGAGAAAUAGAGGAUUGAACAACAACAACAAGUUUAUUUUGGUCAGUGACCAGCAUCAAAACAAACAGACAGCAAGGUAAAUGAAACGCAAGUCGAGGUAUCAAAAUACAACUUUCAAAAAUCAGAGCCAGGAAACAAUGCCAAGUGCAACAGUCAAAAAAUAGCACACAGCAUUUGCACAAUUGAAUAGCAGUGAGAAAAGGUUUUAAGACUGUGACAACAUCCUGUGCCGACAAGCUAUUGUCAGAGUACAAAAACUAGCAACUUUGGCUGUGGUUCCAGGAGAUUGGUCAGUCAAAAGUUAAUCAAUAUAAAAUCUUUCAGAUACCCCUGGUAUACUUUGCAAAACCGGGUUAAUUAAGUGUUACUGAAGAUCUUGAUAGAAAGACUGCAACAGGCUUAUUAUUAUUAGCAGAGCCGGCCCUAGGUAUUUUUCAAGUGUAGGCGAACAGAAUUUUGGCGCCCCCCAAACCAAUCACUGAAAAAUAAAAGCGUUGGAUAAGCGAAAAUGUUGGAUAAUAAGGAAGUAUAAAGGAAAAGCCUAUAAAACAUCAAAUUACAUUAUGAUUUUAAAAAUUAAGCACCAAAACAUCAUGUUUUACAACAAAUCAAUAGAAAAAGCAGUUCAAUACAUGGAAAUGUUAUGUAGGAAUUACUAUAUUUGCAAAUUUAGCACUAAACAUUGAACAGGGAUAUAGGGCAGUGUGGACUUAGAUAACCCAGAUAGCCCUCAGUAUUAAAAAAAAACCCUCUAAAAUCAGGACAAUAAAUAAAGAACAACACUCUGAAAACAGAAGAAAUCCAGACAAUAAACAAUCAGGGACAGCUAACUCCUCCCAAAAAAAGAUUCUCCCAGGCAAGAAGAAGCCAGGCCUUGAAGCCACAGGGCCAUUAAAUGCUAAUCAAGGUGAUUAAUUACAACAUUCACACCUGCUUCAAAGAAAAGUUCUUUCUCCCACCCUGGACCUUCUGCAGAUAUAUAAACCCCACAUACCUAGCUUCCAAGUUCCUACAGACCUCACAAUCUCUGAAGGCCCCAAAGGUGGGCUUGCGUGGUGCGAAGGUGGGUCUGCGCUGGCCGGAAGGCCCGAAAGAGAAGGAGGUGGAGAGUGGUGCCCUCCUCCCAGGACGAUGGUGCCCCCGGGACGAUGGCGCCACAGGCAAAUGCCUAUUUCGCCUUAUGGUUGGACCGCCUCUGAUUAUUAGUAUUAUUACUACUGUAUGACACAGCAAACAAGCUAGAUAUGCUGGAUUUCGUAUCACGAAAUCACAAGUCGAACACUUCCCAAGUGUCCGUGUGAUGUAUUUUCGGAUGAUGCCCGCAGACCCCAGUAGGGUGGCCUUUUGCAGUUGACAAAUUGUGAUUUUGUCAAUGUCUAUUGUUUCCAAAUGCCGGCUGAGAUCUUUUGCCACGGCACCCAGUGUGCCCAUCACUACCGGGACCACCUGCACUGGUUUCUGCCAGAGUCUUUGAAGUUUAAUCUUGAGGUCCUGAUAGCGGCUGAGUUUUUCCUGUUGUUUUUCGUCAGUGUCACCUGGGAUGGCAACAUCAAUGAUCCAAACCUUUUUCUCUUCCACAAGUGUGAUGUCUGGUGUGUUGUGUUCCAGAACUUUGUCAGUCUGGAUUCGGAAGUCUCACAGUAUCUUUGCAUGCUCAUUUUCCAAUACUUUUGCAGGUUUGUGAUCCCACCAGUUCUUUACUGCAGGAAGGUGGUACUUGAGGCAUAAGUUCCAAUGAAUCAUUUGGGCCACAUAGUUGUGCCUCUGUUUGUAGUCUGUCUGUGCAAUUAUUAUUAUUAUUAUUAUUAUUAUGCAUUUUUCUAUUAUUUUUGUAUUAUUUCUGUUAUGACUGGUUAUAACUUUAUCUACAGGGAGGGAAAAAUCAUUCUAGCUGGUAGGAGCAAAAGCAACAAAAAGGUAUCUCUCUAGUCCUAAUAUUCAAACUGAGCAGCAUAGAGAAGGAUAGCAGAUAGCAAAAUAGAGGUAUUCAUGUCACUGCAAAGGCAUAGGUUAGCAUGGUUGAGCCUGCACAUUUUGGGAGAGGCUGUGUUGGGUUUCUGAGGCGAAAAACCCUAAUUACUGUAACCUGCUAACUCUCCCACUCGCAGCAGGAGAUUUGAUUUUAAGGCUCUAACUUCCUCUUUCCUGUUUUGAAAUUUGAUCUGUCUACCUUGUCUUUAUUUGAUCAGCGUCGACUUCCAUGAAAUUUCCUGAAUGUUUCUGACAGAUAAGGUAAGGAGCUGUGCUGGUUUGAUCAAAGUAAAGCACUUCUCAAGAGAAAAUUAAAAUAUUACCUUAUAAAAGCUACCAGAUCAAAGCUAAACUCUUUGCAAAACCUCAGGCCAUUCAAGGGUUAGCAAAAUAGACAUGUUUUCCUUCAAAAUGUGGCUUUUAAAAUAUGAUGUAUUUUACUAGGAUGUAUUUUAAUAAUUAAUCAUAAUCUCAUUUUAAUAUUUUAUUAUUUAUCUCAAACUUCUUUGGUGGAAAGAUGGGGUAUACAUUUAAUACUGUCUAGAUGAUAGAUAGAUAGAUAGACAGACAGACAGACAGACAGACAGACAGACAGACAGACAGAUGAUAGGGUUUUGGAAGCAAACCCUAUUAUUAUAUCUAUUGUUUAGAGCUUUAGUAUUAUAUCUAUUGUUUAGAGCUUUAGUUUGUUAUGUAGUUUUAAAAAUGCAUUAAUAGCAAAUGAUUUCAUAGGAUCCCUUUUCUCAGUACAGUAUGUUUAAACUCAGCAGUUGAGCGAAUGCAAAUAUUAAAACCUGUCCAGUGUUUCAGUUUACUUUCAUAAUCAUUGUAUAACAAACAUCAAAAUGAAGAUCAAGGGGAAGAGAGUCCGUGGAAGUAGAUCUGUCUACCUUAGUCCAGACAAGGUGAAGGAACUUCUGGGCAAUAGAUGUUAAUGUGGGAUUUGUGUAUUGGUGGUGUUUAAAUGAAAUUUGUGUCUGGCAUGUGUUGCAUACAGGUUGCAUCAUCCAGAGUAUGCUAUAGUCUAUAAAGAGUUAAUGACUGAGAAGCUGUGUUGACCUUGAUGUGUGGCUGGAACCACACAUCAAGGUCACAUGGAAGGUUUGGGGAGUAUCCAGACUCAAGUGUGUUUGUACAUACUGAUUGUAUCAGUUGAGAUCUUGCUCUGUUCUGAGUUGGUGUCUGCCUAGAGUGAAAGCCAAGCCUGUGUUCGUCUGCAAAUUCUGUUUGUCUUGCAAAGUAAAGCUUUUGUAUAUAUUUUUUUAACAUCAUUUCUGACGUCUCUUCGUUCUGCGCUCCAUUGACAACAUACAACUGCUGCUACGUUGCGAAUUACUCUGACAAUAGAAAUGUUUGUCUAGGAUCUGACAGAACAGCCUCUUUGGGGUGUUGCGGCACUUCCCUCUGAAGAGUUAUGUUCACAGCUUGAGGAUGCUUCUAGGCUCAUUGCUCUUCAUUGAGAAUCAGAUAUCUUCUAUGGCCAAGAGAGUCUCUGUCCAGCUUGGACCGGUGUACCAGCUGUGCCCCUUUCUAAAGAAUGCCAGUUUGACCACAGUGACCUCUAAUACUUUUCUGCAACAUUAAGAGGCUUCUCCUGAUGUGUGACUCAGACAUUUUAGCAAGUGCAAGAUAUGGUGAUCAUGUAUGGCGCGAACAGGGGUUGACUCAUACUUUGUUCACUAAUUUACACUUCUUAUUUAUCAGUUUUAUUGGCUAUUCUUUUGUAUCUGGAUAUAAUUAAAGGCUAUAAAGCUCUAAUCACUUUUGGGACCAGGAUGUUUGAAAUACCAUAUUAUCCUAUAUGUAUCUGUCUGUAAUUUGAGCUCUUUCUGUACAGGAUAGCCUACGGUGUAACCAAGGAAGGAUAAGACGCUUCCUCUACUUGGACCACAGGGCACAAAGAACUGUCCUUAUGACCUUUUAAAAAAUGUUUUGGCUCUACGCUCUACUUUUCAAUUUUUCUUCUGCUCGUCAUCCUGAUGUUUGUGAUAUUAAAUAUCAUGUAAAAAUGAAAUUGAGUAUCAUUUUAAUUGGUUUUUUUAAUAAAAAGUUUUGUAAUUGUUUUAAUUUUAGGGAACCUUGUGGUCUCUAUUUGAAUGAAAAAAUAAGUCAUAUAUUUAGAAAUAAAAUACACAACUAAAUACAGAUCAAAAGACAACCUAUUAAAAUGGCACUACCUAGAAGAAUCCUCCACCUUGUGUGACUGUGAAGCAGAACAAACAACUCAGUAUCUGUAUGCUUGCCCACAAUGCCCUGCCUUAUGUACAGAGAAAGAAUUGUUGACAGCUACAGACAAUGCUGUUGUUUUUGCCUAUUUUUGGUCAAAAAUUAUUUAGCUGCUUGUGUUACCUCUAUUUUUAUCAGUUUUCUACUUAUUUAUGCAAUGCUUUUGACACAAAAUAAAUAACUCAAAUAUUCUCUUUAGGAAUCUCUAGGGACAUCAUCACAUCGUGGCGAAUCCAAUGGGGUCCAAUGGGGGCAGGGGAAACCCAUUGCUCCACACCCCAGAUCUCCCGGUUUGCCUCUCACCCCAUUUCACGGGGGAGGGGAGCAUCCACCAUCCGGCUUCCCCCGCUUUGUCUAUGUAACACUGAAAACCUCCCAUGUUGCCACCUUCUUCACUUCACGGAGUCCCACAGGAAAUAGAUCUAUGUCUUGGCAUGGGAGCCAGUGGGCUCCAGGCCACAAAUGAAGACGGAGCAUCAUACGAUGGUCAAUUUUCACCAUCUGAUGAGGUAGUAAGAGUCAUGCUGGAGGACCUAGAGAUUCCUAGAGAUAACACCUCUUUAGGAAUCUUUAGGUACUCCGGUAUGAUUCUGUGGCCAACAUCUGCUGGAAAUUAACCACAGAACCAUACUGGAGGACCUAGAGAUUCCUAGAGAGUUGUUAAUGCAGGUAAAAAUUAGAGUUUUUCAUCCUCAGUUCUUCCACUUUCAUGGGGUUCUGCACUUUUAACCACAGUUAAUAUGGAGGGUUAUGUCUUUGCAUAUCUGUCUUUCAGUAUUGGUUACCUUGCAUGUUUAUACUUUUGUUUUGUGUUUUCACAAGCAAGACAUGUGUUUCCCCAACCACAAGUCCCAUGAAUUUGUUUUCAGAGCAGAAAUGUCCCUUGAAAUUAAGAAAUCCCCCCCUCCUCAUACUAGGCAGUUGUCAGGCUCUUUUACUUCUUUUCUUGACUUCAUGUAAAGUUUGCCAUGUAGUAUUUAGCUUAAACAAGCCAAUAAUUGCUGAAUAAAGUUUGCAAAUGGAAA